GCCCAGACUCCUACGGGAGGCAGCAGUGGGGAAUAUUGCACAAUGGGGGGAACCCUGAUGCAGCGACGCCGCGUGAGCGAAGAAGUAUCUCGGUAUGUAAAGCUCUAUCAGCAGGGAAGAAAAUGACGGUACCUGACUAAGAAGCUCCGGCUAAAUACGUGCCAGCAGCCGCGGUAAUACGUAUGGAGCAAGCGUUAUCCGGAUUUACUGGGUGUAAAGGGAGCGCAGGCGGCGCGCCAAGUCUGGUGUGAAACCCCGGGGCUCAACCCCGGGACUGCAUUGGAAACUGGCGGGCUGGAGUGUCGGAGGGGCAGGCGGAAUUCCUGGUGUAGCGGUGAAAUGCGUAGAUAUCAGGAGGAACACCAGUGGCGAAGGCGGCUUACUGGACUGUAACUGACGUUGAGGCUCGAAAGUGUGGGGAGCAAACAGGAUUAGAUACCCCAGUAA
rnacentral:rRNA from 1 species